GCCCAGAUGGGAUUAGCUUGUUGGUGAGGUAACGGCUCACCAAGGCGACGAUCCCUAGCUGGUCUGAGAGGAUGACCAGCCACACUGGAACUGAGACACGGUCCAGACUCCUACGGGAGGCAGCAGUGGGGAAUAUUGCACAAUGGGCGCAAGCCUGAUGCAGCCAUGCCGCGUGUAUGAAGAAGGCCUUCGGGUUGUAAAGUACUUUCAGCGGGGAGGAAGGUGUUGUGGUUAAUAACCGCAGCAAUUGACGUUACCCGCAGAAGAAGCACCGGCUAACUCCGUGCCAGCAGCCGCGGUAAUACGGAGGGUGCAAGCGUUAAUCGGAAUUACUGGGCGUAAAGCGCACGCAGGCGGUCUGUCAAGUCGGAUGUGAAAUCCCCGGGCUCAACCUGGGAACUGCAUUCGAAACUGGCAGGCUUGAGUC
rnacentral:rRNA from 2 species